rnacentral:rRNA from 1 species
GAUGAACGCUGGCGGCGUGCCUAAUACAUGCAAGUCGAGCGAACAGAUGAGGAGCUUGCUCCUCUGACGUUAGCGGCGGACGGGUGAGUAACACGUGGAUAACCUACCUAUAAGACUGGGAUAACUUCGGGAAACCGGAGCUAAUACCGGAUAAUAUAUUGAACCGCAUGGUUCAAUAGUGAAAGACGGUUUUGCUGUCACUUACAGAUGUAUCCGCGCCGCAUUAGCUAGUUGGUAAGGUAACGGCUUACCAAGGCAACGAUGCGUAGCCGACCUGAGAGGGUGAUCGGCCACACUGGAACUGAGACACGGUCCAGACUCCUACGGGAGGCAGCAGUAGGGAAUCUUCCGCAAAGGGCGAAAGCCUGACGGAGCAACGCCGCGUGAGUGAUGAAGGUCUUCGGAUCGUAAAACUCUGUUAUUAGGGAAGAACAAAUGUGUAAGUAACUAUGCACGUCUUGACGGUACCUAAUCAGAAAGCCACGGCUAACUACGUG